rnacentral:rRNA from 1 species
UACGUAGGGAGCUAGCGUUGUCCGGAAUCAUUGGGCGUAAAGAGCGUGUAGGCGGUCCGGUAAGUCCGCUGUGAAAGUCGGGGGCUCAACCCUCGAAUGCCGGUGGAUACUGUCGGGCUAGAGUGCGGAAGAGGCGAGUGGAAUUCCUGGUGUAGCGGUGAAAUGCGCAGAUAUCAGGAGGAACACCUAUUGCGAAGGCAGCUCGCUGGGACGUAACUGACGCUGAGACGCGAAAGCGUGGGGAGCAAACAGG